rnacentral:rRNA from 1 species
AGGGGUUUGAUCAUGGCUCAGAAUGAACGUUGGCGGCGUGGAUUAGGCAUGCAAGUCGCGCGAGAUCCUAUUAAUUGAAGCUUCGGCGGAUGUUUUUAGGUGAGAGCGGCGCAAGGGAGAGUAACGCGUGGAUACCUGCCCCGGGAUCCGGGAUAGCGAGGCCGCAAGGCUACCGAAAGGCUCGGUAAUACCGGAUAAUGUCUCUGGACCAAAGGUGUGAUUCCGUCUUGGGAUGGGUCCGCGUCCUAUUAGCUUGUUGGUGGGGUAAUGGCCUACCAAGGCAAAGAUGGGUACCGGGUGUGAGAGCAUGGCCCGGCUCACUGGGACUGAGACACUGCCCAGACACCUACGGGUGGCUGCAGUCGAGAAUCUUCCGCAAUGGACGAAAGUCUGACGGAGCGACGCCGCGUGCGGGAUGAAGGCCUUCGGGUUGUAAACCGCUGUCAGUUGGGAGGAAAUGCAUGGGGGCUAUCCCCUGUGUUUGACCGAUCUUCAGAGGAAGUACGGGCUAAGUACGUGCCAGCAGCCGCGGUAACACGUACCGUACGAACGUUAUUCGGAAUCACUGGGCUUAAAGAGUCCGUAGGCGGCCAUGUAGGUGAGGUGUGAAAUCCCACGGCUCAACCGUGGAACUGCGCUUCAAACCAUGUGGCUCGAGGGAGAUAGAGAAAGCGGAACUGAUGGUGGAGCGUGAAAUGCGUUGAUAUCAUCAGGAACACGGUGGCGAAAGCGGUUUCUGGGUCUCUUCUGACGCUGA